AUGGAUUUGCUUUCUCUUUGCAAUUUACCAUAAGUCAUUGCUCAGGAGGAAGGCCGACCACCGCUUUGGACACCUUUCUUCAAAUGGAGACGCAGGUAGAGGAGAAGGGCCGACAGAGCCCUAGAGGCAGGUUUCUUAUAUCUCUUUUGAAGGUUUGAUGCUUAAAACAGGUUUUCAGCCUAGAUCUUCAUGUACUGCAUAGGUGGAAUGCUCAGUGAUAACACUACCAUUGCAGUUGUUAUAUUCUUUGAGGCUGCAAUGCUAUCAUUUGUGAAAAUUGUUGUCCAAAAUUGAUUUCUGAAUACACAUAGAAAGAUACGAUACCGAAUCCAAUCCAAGCCUUAAGAGAGCAAAGAAGAGUAUUCGAAGUCCGUUUCAGCAUCCCAUCAGAUUCCACGCAAUUAGUUAUGAACCAAGUCCUUGACACAACAGUCGCUGAACUUGAAGCCACGCCAACACCACACACAAAAAAAUAUAUAUUAACUACAUCGUUUAGUGUUGCUAUGUUUUUUUUAAGAACUGUUCGGUUAACAUUCUUUAUACAUAUCUGGUUGUUACUACACAAACCCCUACAACAUUCCAC
rnacentral:lncRNA from 1 species